UACGUAGGGGGCUAGCGUUGUCCGGAAUCAUUGGGCGUAAAGCGCGUGUAGGCGGUUCGGUAAGUCCGCUGUGAAAGUCGGGGGCUCAACCCUCGAAAGCCGGUGGAUACUGUCGGACUAGAGUACGGAAGAGGCGAGUGGAAUUCCUGGUGUAGCGGUGAAAUGCGCAGAUAUCAGGAGGAACACCGGUGGCGAAGGCGGGUCUCUGGGCCGAUACUGACGCUGAGGAGCGAAAGCGUGGGGAGCGAACAGG
rnacentral:rRNA from 1 species